rnacentral:rRNA from 1 species
UACGUAGGGACCAAGCGUUGUUCGGAUUUACUGGGCGUAAAGGGCGCGUAGGCGGCUUGACAAGUCACUUGUGAAAUCUCCGGGCUUAACUCGGAACGGCCAAGUGAAACUGUCAUGCUAGAGUGCAGAAGGGGCAAUCGGAAUUCUUGGUGUAGCGGUGAAAUGCGUAGAUAUCAAGAGGAACACCUGAGGUGAAGACGGGUUGCUGGGCUGACACGUGACGCUGAGGCGCGAAAGCCAGGGAGCAAACGGG